rnacentral:rRNA from 1 species
UACGAAGGGGGCUAGCGUUGUUCGGAAUUACUGGGCGUAAAGGGCGCGUAGGCGGUACUUCAAGUCAGGCGUGAAAGCCCCGGGCUCAACCUGGGAACCGCGCUUGAGACUGGAGAACUAGAGUUCGGGAGAGGAUGGUGGAAUUCCCAGUGUAGAGGUGAAAUUCGUAGAUAUUGGGAAGAACACCGAUGGCGAAGGCAGCCAUCUGGACCGACACUGACGCUGAGGCGCGAAAGCGUGGGGAGCAAACCGG